rnacentral:rRNA from 1 species
CAGGCCUAACACAUGCAAGUCGGACGGGAUUUGGGAGCUUGCUCCUAAUGAGAGUGGCGCACGGGUGCGUAACACGUAUGUAACCUACCUUAAUCAGGGGGAUAGCCUCUCGAAAGAGAGAUUAACACCGCAUAACAUAUUUUUAUGGCAUCGUAGAAAUAUCAAAUAUUUAUAGGAUUAAGAUGGGCAUGCGGAACAUUAGCUAGUUGGUAAGGUAACGGCUUACCAAGGCUACGAUGUUUAGGGGAUCUGAGAGGAUGACCCCCCACACUGGUACUGAGACACGGACCAGACUCCUACGGGAGGCAGCAGUAAGGAAUAUUGGUCAAUGGGCGCAAGCCUGAACCAGCCAUGCCGCGUGCAGGAAGACGGCCCUAUGGGUUGUAAACUGCUUUUGUACCGGAAUAAACCCUUUUACGAGUAGAAGGCUGAAUGUACGGUAAGAAUAAGGAUCGGCUAACUCCGUGCCAGCAGCCGCGGUAAU